ensembl:lncRNA
AAAAAAAAAAAGAAUGCUUUGAGAUUAGAGGCACACUUAAUAGGUAGAAAUUACAGUGCAGUGGAGGGACUUCUGCCCUGGGUCUCAGGCAGCCUGGGUCCCUGGGCCCCAGCACAGAACUCCACUCUGCCACUCAUUCCUCGCCUUGCAUCUUAGCCUCUGCACUUAUGAAUGAAGGGUUCAGAGCCCUUACUGUCUUCACUUCACGACAUCCUGGAGAUCACGGUCAUUUUUUCUCAUGACUAUACAAUAUUCCCUAAAUACAGUUUGCUAUUGAUGAAUGAUGGGUUUUUUCAGAAUUUUGCACUUCCAAACAAUGGUGCACAUUUUGGGCACAUAUCUUUAUGGAUUGUAUGUAUUGACCUGUAAGAUGAUGAGUGGAGUAUCCUGUUGACAAGGUUGUGCAUUUGUGAUUUUCAUGGCCAUUGCCAAAUCACUCUCCAUAGAAGUAGCACCAAAUUGGGAUCCUACUGCCAAGUUGUGGGCCCUGCUGUUUCUCUUAUAUGGUGAGGGGCGGUGGAUGGGGUGUCUUGGUGAUUCCUCCCAUACUAUCCACCUCUAAAGUUACAUGAUGUCAGGCUCCUGCUCUGCUUAUGUCCCUAUUUCUUUCUCUCUCUCUCUCUUUUUUUUUUUUCAUUUUUUAAGGUUUUAUUGAAGUAUAGUUGAUUUACCAUGUUGGCAUCAUUUCUGCUGUACAAAAAAGUGCUUUCGUUAUAAACAUACAUACAGCCAUUCUCUUUCAGAUUAUUAUCACAGACUAUUAGUUCUCUGUGCGAUACAUGCUCCCAUUUCUUGAGGCACCAAAUGCUUAGCUGGGCCUGGCUUCAUGCUCUCCAGCUGGUCCCAGAGAGAGAGGGAGAGAGGAUGAGAAUGAGAAUGAAUGAAUGAGAGAGUUCCAGGGGCUCAAUGUCUCACUGGUGAUGUGCCAACAACUGUCAUCAUUCCAAUUUCUGUGUCCAUGCACCUGGUCCCCACAGUCAGGAAGGAGGAGGAGCAGGCCAGUCCUCUGUGCAUGUUAUGGUGAAGGUCAGAGCCCCUUAGGAAGUGAGACUGAAGGGUAAACUCACCUCCAGGGUUCUGUGCACUGACUUCAGGAUCAGGCUCAUCACUUGUUAGCAUUACUCGUCAGACUCCAGACACUUGGUGGAAUUUUACCCCAGGGAGGUCCUCGUGGGGCCUAGAACUUGGUUGUGACCUGGAGCCCCACCCAGAAACACUCAAAUCUGUCACCAGUAACCAUCCCUGGGUUUAGCUAGGGGGAGGACUUCCUUGACAGACAAAACAAAUGGAACUCUGUCACAAAGGAAGUGUAAACAGACUCAAAGAAUGGAAGUGCUACUGUCCCCUUCAUUUUCCUCAUUGGUGUGGCGUGUGGUGAGGUCACUUCAUUUCCUCUAUUGUCUGGUCUAAUAAAAGUGAUCAGGAGUUCCUGUCGUGGAGCAGUGGAAAUGAAUCCGACUACGCGCCAUGAGGUUGCAGGUUCGAUCCCUGGCCUCAUUCAGUGGGUUAAGGAUCUGGCAUUGCCAUGAGCUGGGGUGUAGGUAGCAGACACUGCUCGGAUCUGAUGUUGCUGUGGCUGUGGUGUAGGUUCUGAUUGGAUUCCUAGCCUGGGAACCUCCAUUUGCUGUGGGUGCAGCCCUAAAAAGCAAGCAAACAAACAAAGAAAAAAAGCAAAAAACCAGUGAUCAGCAAGUAAGACCUGGGUUUUUCAUACAUGCCUUUGUGAUCUUUACAGGACCCUUCAUGUGUGCGCAUGCAUACACACACUCAUUAAUCAAACAUCUCCUGGGCACCAGUGUGUGUCAGGUGGCAGCCAUGUGUGGGUGGCAGAUGACCAAGACCCUGCUUCCACUCUGGGGAGGGUGCUAAGAUAAAGCUCUUUGUGACAAAGCACAGGGUGGAAAGGGACAAGUGUCAUAGGUGGGACAUGCCACACGUCCCCGACGGUUCCAGGCACUCCCCUCCUCUCCCAGCCAUAGCUUUCUUGAUUUGCAUUCCCUGAGCAUCCAAUAAUCCUGAGAGUUAAGGAAGGGAGAGAACUGGAGUAGAAAGGAGAGGAAGCUCCAUGUAGAGGGUGAGGUGAGGCCUGGCAGGAGGGCUAACUCAAUAGGGUCAUUGGCAAGUUGCUUUGGUUGGGCUGGUUUGCUGAAAGACAACAACAGUGACAUUGGCUAGAGAAAGAAAGAGACAUGUUUCCUAGAGGCCCCUGCACUUAGCCUUUGCGGAUGAGACAUGCCAUGUGGCUGUCAUUAAUAGGACAUGUGGAGUUCCCACUGUGGCGCAGUGGAAACAAAUCCGACUAGUAUCCAUGAGGAUGCUGGUUCGAUCCCUGGCCUCGAUCAGUGGGUCAGGGAUCUGGCGUUACAGUGGGCUAUGGUAUAGGUCACAGACUCGGCUCAGAUCCUGACUUGCUGUUGCUGUGGCUGUGGUGUAGGCUGGCAGCUGCAGCUCCAAUUUGACCCCUAGCCUGGGAACUUCCAUAUGCUGCAGGUGAGGCCCUAAAAAGCAAAAAAAAAAAAAAAAAAAA